rnacentral:rRNA from 1 species
UGGGAAAAGCUCAACUUUAAAAUCUGGCAGUUUCACUGUCCGAGUUGUAGUCUCGAGAAGCGUUUUCCGUGUUGAAGCAUGCAUGAGUCUGUUGGAAUACAGCGUCAUAGAGGGUGAGAACCCCGUUCGUGGUAUGCCUUUCAAUACUUUGUGAUACGUUUUCGAU